rnacentral:rRNA from 1 species
ACAGCCGCGGUAAUACAGAGGGUGCAAGCGUUAAUCGGAAUUACUGGGCGUAAAGCGAGCGUAGGUGGCUUGAUAAGUCAGAUGUGAAAUCCCCGGGCUUAACCUGGGAACUGCAUCUGAUACUGUUAAGCUAGAGUAGGUGAGAGGGAAGUAGAAUUUCAGGUGUAGCGGUGAAAUGCGUAGAGAUCUGAAGGAAUACCGAUGGCGAAGGCAGCUUCCUGGCAUCAUACUGACACUGAGGCUCGAAAGCGUGGGUAGCAAACAGGAUUAGAUACCCUGGUAGUCCACGCCGUAAACGAUGUCUACUAGUCGUUGGGUCCCUUGAGGACUUAGUGACGCAGCUAACGCAAUAAGUAGACCGCCUGGGGAGU